AGAUAAUUUUGUCUGUGAAAUG
rnacentral:miRNA from 1 species